UACGUAGGUGGCAAGCGUUGUCCGGAAUUACUGGGUGUAAAGCGCGUGUAGGCGGGAGGCCAAGUCUGCUGUGAAAUCGCUCGGCUCAACUGGGCGGGGUCGGUGGAAACUGGUCACCUGGAGGACGGUAGAGGCGAGUGGAAUUCCCGGUGAGUGGUGAAAUGCGUAGAGAUCGGGAGGAACACCAGUGGCGAAGGCGGCUCGCUGGGCCGGUCCUGACGCUGAGACGCGAAGGCGUGGGGAGCGAACGGG
rnacentral:rRNA from 1 species